UAUUAUUAUUAUUUUGUUGAGAGUCCAUUGUAUUCAAGCACCGGUUGACCUGCGCAGCGCGCCGUGGAGACCGCCAUGAGGUAGAAGCUAGGGGAGGGAGGGCUUAGAGAUGCGUGUAUGGUUACCUGCGUGCAGUAUUGGAGGCACUGUUCCGAGUGCGAUGGAUGCAAAGGCCAGGAAGACACUGGCCCGGUUCUUGAGGAAGUCCGUGCCAUGGGGCCGAUGGCAGAGAUGGAAGGAGGGGUUAACCUAAGUUUUCUUGGAUGUGGAGAGUGUUGGGCUGCUCUUAGGUAUAGAAGGAUGUGACAUGGAAUGAUGCGAUGAUGAGUGAAGUAUAGUCUGACCUGGUAUUGCCACUGCUUCAGUGUUGGCCUUGACCAGGGUAUGAUCCCUUAAUCUUCUCUCUGAGCUGAUUCUGGUUGUGGUUUUUCCACAUUGGUUGAGGUGAAAAAUCUGGCUUUUGAUAUCUUCGUGGAGGACUACAUUAUUUCAAUCCUGAAUCUGGUUCAGUUUCCUUAUUGACUUAUUAUGAUAUUAAAAAUGCUUAAUUAAC